AAACUGCGAUAAGUAGUGUGAAUUGCAUUUAGUGAAUCAUCGAAUCUUUGAACGCACCCAGCACUCACUGGUAUUCCGGUGAGUACGCCUGUUUCAGUAUCAUUGAAAACACACAAUCAAAACAUUUUCUUUGGUUUGAUUGGCUUUGGGUCUAUCAAAAAGUUUGGCUUGUUUCUUACAAGCCAAGCGGCCUGAAAUAUAUUGUCUGGCUAAUUGCAUCGUUGAUGAUCGCUAUUAGACUUUGGCUUUUUUAAAUGAACUGGAGGUUGAUUAACCAGUUUUAGCUUUAGUCAAAUGGUCAUUGUAAAAAAAAUCUCGAUCUUGGCUAGGUGUUUAUAGCCGAAAAUUUUUUUUUGGCUAUAACCGAAACCAAUAUAAUCACAUUUAGUUAUCGAUCUGAAAUCAGGUGGGACUACCCGCUGAACUUAAGC
rnacentral:misc_RNA from 1 species